rnacentral:rRNA from 1 species
CCUACGGGAGGCAGCAGUGGGGAAUAUUGGGCAAUGGAGGAAACUCUGACCCAGCAACGCCGCGUGAAUGAUGAAGGUCUUCGGAUUGUAAAGUUCUUUUCUAAGGGAAGAAGAAAGUGACGGUACCUUAGGAAUAAGCCUCGGCUCACUACGUGCCAGCAGCCGCGGUAAUACGUAGGAUGCGAGCGUUAUCCGGAAUGACUGGGCGUAAAGGGUGCGUAGGUGGGAAGCCAAGUCAGCUGUGAAAACUACGGGCUUAACGUGUAGACUGCAGUUGAAACUGGUUUUCUGGAGUGAAGUAGAGGUUGGCGGAAUGCCGAGUGUAGCGGUGAAAUGCGUAGAUAUUCGGAGGAACACCGGUGGCGAAGGCGGCCAACUGGGCUUUAACUGACGCUGAGGCUCGAAAGUGUGGGGAGCAAACAGGAUUAGAUACCCCUGUAGUC